AGGAAUUCUAGGGUGGGUUCUAUUGAUGCUACGCCAGACCCUGGAUAUCGCCGUUAUAAUGGGAGUUCUAUUGAUACUCCCCCGGACCCUGGAUAUCGCCGUUAUAAUGGGAGGCCGAAGCGCGACAAGAUAAGAAGGGGACCAUUCUCCUGUGCGUUGACGCUAUUGAAGAAGCAGUCAAGAUGACAAAUUUUGCAGCAUGAAAAUAAUUUCAGUUGUCUUCUUUCUAUGACUUCCACUUGUAACUGGCAAUAAUAUCGGACAAGUGUUAAAGCUGAAGAUUGUAGAGUUAUGAGUUUUGCUUGUUCAUUUAGUUGUCUGGAUUCUAGUUUAUAUUAUCUUGUCUUUGAUGCAUUCGGUAACUGUUUACUACUUUUAUAUUAAUUCUAUAUGAAGUCUUGCUAGUUUUCGAGUGCCUAUAUUGUUGAAUAUUAUGAAUGUGAUUUUAAAUCUAGUUGGUUUUACAGUCUUGUUGGUUCUUGUAACGGACUGGUAUGUAGGGGUGUAAACGAGCCGGGCCGAGUCCGAGCUCGGCUCGUCAUGUUUUUAUGAAGCUCGAGCUCGAGCUCGGCUCGGUUCGAGCCUACUUGUUUGAGCUCGAACUCGGCUCGCAAGUAAAACCCAAAGCUCGAGCUCGGCUCGACUCGACUCGAGCAAUUUUGAGAACAACCACAGACGAGCUAAAAACUCGACUCGAACUCGCUUCAAUAUCGCUUAAACGAGACAAAGCUCGGCUCGAGCUCGGCUCGCCAAUGUUAUCAUCACUAUUAUUAUAUUAUAUAUAAACUAAAUAAAUUUUUGCUCGGUCUCGUUUAGGCUCGCGAGCCUAAACGAGCUUUGUAUUUCAGGCUCGAGCUCGGGCUCGAUAACUAAACGAGCUCUAUUUCAGGCUCGGGCUUGUUAAAGCUCGGCUCGUUCAAGCUUUUAACCGAGCCGAUAAUGAGUAGCUCUCGAGUCUCUGGGCUUGUUUACAAAUUACAACCCUACUGGUAUGCAUCUUCUCUUAUUUAACAUGGACAAUUUUAGUAGGCAAUCCAAUGACUAGAGAGGUAAGACAACUGAACCUUCCCUCGUUUUUGCUUUUGCUCGAUAGAUCAUUAUGUUGGGGUUUUGGUUAUGAUUUAUCCAAAGACGAUUACACAGUUGUUGUCGCGGGGGAGAAGAAAGGCGAGAAUCAAACAUCUUUUCACUUGUUGAGUUUGAAAUCUAAUGUGUGGAGAGUUAUCGGAGAAGUGAAGUAUAGAUUACUUACUAAGGCUGGUAUCUUAUGCAAUGGUGCGCUUCACUGGCUUGUAGGAGAUAAUGAAAACACGAAAAAGCUAAUUAUUUGUUAUGAUUUAUCUAAAGAGGAAUUUAAAGAAAUUCCCUUACUACCUGAUGAUGCAAGAUAUGAAAGUUCUUCUCAUAGCUACCUGGGAGUUAUGGAAGAAUGUCUAUGCAUAUUUUGGCGGUCUUUGUCUUCUUGUGUUGUCGUAUGGCGGCCGAUGAAAAAGUACAAUGUUGUAAAACAGUCAUGGGAAUUGUUGCGACGUAAUUCUGACAUGAAGUAUGAAAGUAUACACUACUUGAGAAGGGCGAAGAAUCCUAUGUUAAAUGAUAGUUUCUUCCAUCUUGAUGAAUCUCUUUUUUGCGGCACGUUAUACGUUGAUGCCCCUAUAUUUGUGCAAAGCCUUGUAUCGCCCCAUGUAUGCAGGACAAGAGGAGUGUGUUGUCGUAUGGCCGAUGAAAAAGUAUAGUGCAUAUCUUGACUUUUUCAAGAUGAAAGAGCGUUGCGUUAGUGUGAGGAGAUGGAGAUUCAGUGCCACAUUUUGAUGCUGUUAAGAUCUUCUGCCUUAUAAUACUUUUUAUUUUCUAGUAUCUUUUUUUAUGGAUUCAGUAAUUGUUAACAGUGUCAGACCCAGGAUUUUUGGACAAUGGGGUCCAAAAAAAAAACACAAAAAAACGAAGAAACAGGUAUCAAACCCAUGACCUUUUGUGUGUUAACAAGGGGUUUUACCACUACACUAGGCUCACUUUCAUUGUUAUGGGGUCCAACUAAAUUGUUCGAUGGGGUCCAUAGACAAUUUUAUAUACCGUUUCUACUACGUUUUAAAAAAAGAUUGGGGUCCGGGGACCCCGUUCCUCGUAACGUAGGUCCGCCCCUGAUUGUUAAUUUAUGAGUAAA